UUGGUAGGGUAAAGGCCUACCAAGGCGACGAUCUAUAGCUGGUCUGAGAGGACGAUCAGCCACACUGGGACUGAGACACGGCCCAGACUCCUACGGGAGGCAGCAGUGGGGAAUAUUGGACAAUGGGCGAAAGCCUGAUCCAGCAAUACCGCGUGUGUGAAGAAGGCCUUAGGGUUGUAAAGCACUUUCAAUGGGGAGGAAAACCUGCCGGUCAAUACCCGGUAGCUUGACAUUACCUUUAGAAGAAGCACCGGCUAACUCCGUGCCAGCAGCCGCGGUAAUACGGAGGGUGCGAGCGUUAAUCGGAAUUACUGGGCGUAAAGCGUGCGUAGGUGGUUCGUUAAGUCAGAUGUGAAAGCCCUGGGCUCAACCUGGGAACUGCAUUUGAAACUGGCGGACUAGAGUUUAGUAGAGGGGAGUGGAAUUUCAGGUGUAGCGGUGAAAUGCGUAGAUAUCUGAAGGAACACCAGUGGCGAAGGCGACUCCCUGGACUAAAACUGACGCUGAGGUACGAAAGCGUGGGUAGCAAACAGGAUUAGAUACCCUGGUAGUCCACGCCGUAAACGAUGUCGACUAGCCGUUGGUCCUAUUUACAGGAUUAGUGGCGCAGCUAACGCAUUAAGUCGACCGCCUGGGGAGUACGGCCGCAAGGUUAAAACUCAAAUGAAUUGACGG
rnacentral:rRNA from 1 species